AAUGACGGUUGGUUUUGAUGGGUUACGAGAUCUCAGUGAUGGUAGGUUUUGGUGGGUUACGAGAUCUCCAUGACGGUUGGAUUUGCUGUGUUAUGAGAUUUCAAUAACGGUUAGUUCUGCUGGGUUAUGAGAUUUCAAUGAUGGCCGGUUUUGAUCAGUUACGAGAUCUCAAUGAAGGUUGGUUUUGCUGGAUUAUGAGAUCUCAAUGAUAAUAGGUUUUAGUGGAUUACGAGGUCUCAGUGAUGGUAGGUUUUGGUGGGUUACAAUAUCUCAAUGACGGCUGGUUUUGUUCAGUUACGAGAUCUCAAUGGCAGUUGGUUUUACUUGGUUAUGAGAUUUUAAUGAUGGUCGGUUUUGGUGGGUUACGAGGUCUCAGUGAUGGUAGGUUGUGUUCAGUUACGAGUUGCUAAGUUGCUGAGUUAUGAAAUCUCAAAGAUGGUAGGUUUUCAGAGUCAGUCGUUUUUUUUUUCAUUAUGAGAUUUCAAAGACAAUCAGAUUUUUUUCAUUAUGAGUUUUCAAUGACAGUUGGUUUUGGUGCAUUACGAGAUCUCAGUGAUGGUAGGUUUUUGUGGGUUACGAGAUCUCAAUGAUGGUAGGUUUUGGUGGGUUACGAGAUCUCAAUGACGAUCGGAUUUGCUGUGUUAUGAGAUUUCAAUAACGGUCGGUUCUGCUGGGUUAUGAGAUUUUAAUGAUGGUCGGUUUUGGUGGAUUACGAGAUAUCAAAGAUGGUAAGUUUUCAGAGUCAGUCGUUUUUUUUUUCAUUAUGAGAUUUCAAAGACAAUCAGAUUUUUUUCAUUAUGAGUUUUCAAUGACAGUUGGUUUUGGUGCAUUACGAGAUCUCAGUGAUGGUAGGUUUUUGUGGGUUACGAGAUCUCAAUGAUGGUAGGUUUUGGUGGGUUACGAGAUCUCAAUGACGAUCGGAUUUGCUGUGUUAUGAGAUUUCAAUAACGGUCGGUUCUGCUGGGUUAUGAGAUUUUAAUGAUGGUCGGUUUUGGUGGAUUACGAGAUAUCAAAGAUGGUAAGUUUUCAGUGUCAGUCUUUUUUUUUUUCUUUUUUUUUUUUGUUACAAGUUUUCAAUGACGGUCGGUUUUGGUGGGUUACGAGAUCUCAGUGAUGGUAGGUUUUUGUGGGUUACAAGAUUUCAGUGACGGUAGGUUUUGGUGGGUUACAAGAUCUCAAUUACGGUUGGAUUUGUUGGGUUAUAAAACUUCAAUGAUGGUCGGUUUUGGUGGGAUACGAGGGCUCAGUGAUGGCCGGUUUUGAUCAGUUACGAGAUCUCAAUAAAGGUUGGUUUUGCUGGGUUAUGAGAUCUCAAUGAUAAUAGGUUUUAAUGGAUUACGAGGUCUCAGUGAUGGUAGGUUUUGGUGGGUUACAAUAUCUCAAUGAUGGCCGGUUUUGUU